AUAGAACAUUUGGGGUGCCAAGAGGCUGAGAUUAUACCCAUCGAACCUGAUGCAGUUAGGACUGCCGAAGGGAAAUGUGUAUCAACAAAU
rnacentral:ncRNA from 5 species